UGCUAACUUUUUGAAAAAGUUCAAUGUUGUAUCACCAUGAUUUGUAAACUGAAACACUAUUAGAUUUGAUAACAUUCACUGUUUCAUUCAUAAUAGAUCUUAUCAUAUAUAUGACAUAUAAAAAAGAAGCUACUAUCAUGUAAACAAAACGCAGAUGAAGACGGCAAAUGCAUUCCUCCAGAAUACAUACACAAAUACUAGUAAGGAAGAGCACAAAAGACAAUGCUAUGAGAGCCACAACUAAGUGACUUCUCAAACUCAAGCAAUUACGUUCCUUCCAACCUAAAAUCAAAGCCAAGGCACAGCUAAGUAACCUUGCCAAUUAUUUAAAAAACAGCACAUAAACACAGGUAAUAUGGAUAUAUAUACCUAUCUCUUCCUUCUACUCAAUCCCAAACUUCUUUUUCAGCACAAGGACAAAUUCAUAGACCUUUUCAGGGUCAGGAACAGACUCGGAUACAGACUCUUUCUGCAGGCACCUCUUAGCCCAAGCAAUCAGCACAGGACACUCAGGCUCUAUGCUGAAGUUGCCACAGGUCUCAUAGGCAUAAAACCAGGAAUAGAAUGGUAUAAGUGCAACAUCCACAUAUCCCAUGCUCUCACCACCAAAAUAAGGCUUGUUUCCAAGCUCACCUUCCAACAACUUAAGGGCCUCAAUGAAUUCUUUCUUGGCUGCCUCCUGCUCAUCUCCCUUUGUAGUCCAUAUCUUCCUCCCUAUAUCAUAUAUCUUCUUGUCAAUAAAAUCAGCCCAGAAUCUAGCCUGGGCUCUCUGGUAAGGAUCGGAGGGCAAGAGAGGAGACUUAUCCUUCCAGACCUCAUCAACAUACUGAACGGCAAUAAGAGACUCACAAAUGGGUUUUCCAUUGUGGAUGAGAACAGGGAUCUUCUUGUGAACUGGGUUCAUCUGCAGAAGAAGAGGGCUUUUGUUCCUCAAGUCUUCUUCUCUGUACUCAUACUUGACACCCUUCUCAGCCAAGGCUAUUCUGACUCUCAUCCCAAAAGGGCUUGACCAGAAAUCCAAAAGAAUCACUUCUUCUGCCAUUUCUGCUUGGCUUAGCUACACUGUAACUGCGAGUCAACUCUCCUAGCGGCGGAGACUUAAUCAACCUACGAUGCAAAUGGCGGUUG
rnacentral:misc_RNA from 1 species